AUUUGAAAGUAAGUCUUUGGGGAAGCAAGACCUGAUAGUCAGGUUCCUGAGAGGGGCGAGGGGAUUGAAUCCUCCUUGUCUACACUCUUUACUUUCUUGGGACUUGUCCCUGGUGCUUACGGCACUUUGGAGACUGCCCUUUGAGCCCUUGCAGUCAGCUGAGUUAAAAACCCUGUCCCUUAAGACAGUUCUCCUGGUCGCACUGGCUUCUAUCAAGAGGGUAGGGGACCUGCACGCUUUUUCAGUCGAAAUUGUGCCUAUAAUUUGGCCCAGGUGAUUCUCAUGUUAUCUUGAGACCCUGGAUAUGGGCCCAAAGUUCCUACCACUCCCUUUUGGGAUCAGGUGGUGAACCUGCAAGCACUGCCCUUAGAGGAGGCAGACCCAGCCCUGGCUCUGCUCUGUCCCAUUCAUGCUUUGCACACUUAAGUGGACAGAACACAGAGCUUCAGGACCCCAGAUCAGCUCUUCGUCUGUUACGGAGGCCAGCAGAAGGGAAAGGCUGUCUCUAAGCAGAGAAUGGCUCACUGGAUAGUGGAUACCAUUGCACUGGCAUAAGGGGUGUUGCUUCUUCCUGGGCGCUGGCAUGAGGCCACUCGCUGACAGAUAUAUGUAGAGCUGUGGGCUGGGCGACACUUAACACGUUCGCUAAGUUCUAUAGCCUUGGUGUAGAACCGGUAACCUCCCGCAUAGUCACCCCUAGUGGCCAGUAAACACCAGAACCCCCCUUCUAGUGUCGGCUUGCUGUGCCAUUCCCCUCUCUUCGGACCGGAUAAGUGUGCUCAUUGCUCCAGUAAGUUUCCCAGUUGGCGAACCCUGUAGAGUUCAUCCGUCACCCCUUGUGGCCUCAGACAUUGUGGAGUGUCUGACGCUAGGCCUAGCACUCGUAUGCACUGCUACAUGUGUUAUGCUUGGUGCCAUAUGUUGUGACCCCUAUGGCAGUCCCAUGUGUGUAUUCUUCCACAGUAACUCCCCACGGUGAGCCAGUGUCUUUCCCUUGGCAGAGGCUGCUCUGCCGUCCCUGCUAAGUGUUGUCUUUUCCUUGUUGUCUGGAGCCACCCCAGGGACAUGUAUUCUCCACGGCACCUCCCUUCGAGCAGGAUGUGGAUUCCACAGUGUUCCAUAGAAGGGCACGCUUUUCCAGUGUUAUCCAAUAGUCUCACUGAGUGGGUCAUGCGGAACAGCAGUGAUAGACUUCUUGGCGUAAGCCCGGUCCCUCUUCCGCUCCGAGGUGUGGGGGGAUUCUGAGGCUUACGAGGGGCACUAGAAGGGCAAGCAACUGUGGCAUUUUAUUAGGGUUACCAAUUCGUCCGUUCAAUUCUGACAUACGCCGAACGUGACCGACUGGAAGGGAACAUCUCAGUUACGUAUGUAAAUGAAUUUGUGGUAAAAUACCCUAAAAUUUGACUGGAUGCAUGGCCUGUGUCUUCAACAACAGUAAACGGUUUCACACAUUGUGCACCUUUCUCUCCUCUCAGGAAACAGUGGGGCUGAGGAAAUGCUGCAAUGUGUCUUGUUCAUGCACUGGUGCACCUGGACCACGAGGACCCUCUGGAAGACCGGGUCAAAAGGGCUCUACUGGUCAGAACGGUCAUCCUGGAUUUCCAGGAGACGAAGGUAGUGUGCCGAUGACUGGCUCUCUGUCCGGGGUGUCCCAUGUCACCACAGCUGAGCUGCCCUUCAGAUCUCUGAUGGACACGUUCACUGGAGCAGCCAGACUGUCUAAGAAGAAGAGAAAGAAUCCAGUUGCUUCAUUCAAAUCAUCUUUCUUUUUUGACCGGUUACGAUAGCAGAAGUGAGAUCAAGAUCUUAGUUACACACACCUUCUCCAAAUUUGACAUCAAAGUUUACUCCUUUUACUUCUUUAUUAAAGCACGUUCCUGGUCGUAUUGUGCACGAUUCAUCAGUGCAAAAGAGCUGUGAAGGUGGAAGUCCCACAGAAACGAUACAUGAGGGAUUCAGAAUUUCAGGAACGGAGAAGGAGCGUCUCUCACUCUCCAUCAUAUCAGAGCUUUGAGUCGUUAUAUAACGAGCCACAGCGAUUCUCAUCAAACCUCACGGCCUUUACCUCUCGCUGUCUCCGGGGUGUUUCUGGGCAUCUGAACUCACGACUCGCGACAUCAGGAAGAGUUGAGUCUCUUUCUCCUGCUUCUACAGAGGUGUGUGUCUGUGUGUGUGUGAGGCAGGACUCCUGACCUCUACAGGGUAACAGGAAGUCCUCAGAAACGCUGACAUCAUGCUUCCCUCAUCUCGUUAAUAUGUAUGAUUUGGCAUCACUGACUGUCAGGAGUGUGACAUAUGGUGUCUUCUACAUCACUGUCAAACUGUACUGAGAUCAGAGCGAUAAUGUGGCCUAACUGGUGUGGAGAGUGACACUUUACAGUAAGGUUACAGCAAACCAACAAUGAAAAAACACUUCUAAAGAAUUUAUUAAUCAAUUUCAACAUUCGCUAAUACAUUAUUAAAAUCAAAAGUUGUAUCUGUUAAUAUAAUAUGACAGAUCUGAGCUAACAUGAACUAACAAUGAACAGUUGUAUUAUUGUUAACUAACGUUAAACAAAUACAAAAUAAAUAUCAUAAUUAAUAACAGUGAACCACUGGAACAUAAAGUGCUUGAAUUUCUGCCACUGGCUGUGAAUAAUAUUGUGUUCAUUUAUUUACAGAUUUUUUUAUAGAGUAAUUGCUCCCUAUAUCUCAUAUGUAUUCCUCAUGUGUUUAUUAUACAGUAGGUGAAUCAGAAUGAGAUUCUAGAGAAAAAGCAAUCGAAUAUCUUACUGAUUUAUGAGAUGCAAUGUUUGUGUAUUUGCUUAUAAAUGAGUGCGCAUAUGAAUUUGUUUGUGCCUCUGUAUGUGUUUAUGUGACGCUCAAACACUUAGGAUGUUUAUGCAUAUUUUAGUUUUAUUUAUUCCUCCAUUUUGCAUAUCGCUGGUUAUUUAUGGAAUAAGGAAUUGAAAUAUUCUGUGUGUGUGUGUUCAAAUGCAAAUGUGGGAUAAACAGCAUGAAUUCAGAGAUAAAUGAGUGUGAAUUUGUGUCAUUUCAUUACGUAACUCAAACGGAGCACACUCGAGUCUUCAACGCCGAACAUCUGUGAAGAUCAAACAGAGAAUCCCACAAUAUUACAUCUCACAGAAGAGAAAUAUACGAUUCUUUUGUACAGUUUUAAGUGAGGUAGAUGAUUCUAAUGACUGUCAUUAUAGAGUCAUUUUAUUGGAUAAAAUUAUAUUAUAUUUAUAAAUCAACACUUUUCUUGCUUCAUCUGCAAUUUUAGAUUUUUUUCACCAAGACUGAUGCAAUGCAUUAAUAUCUUCUCUAUGAAGGAUCCAUGCGCUGCCUGACAUAAUCAUGUUCAGGGGAAGAAUUUGCUGACCUGACGAACAAAAUACUUUAUAAUUGUUCAAGUGUGUUCACUUCAGUCACCUUCAGAGUCUGUCCUAUCCUCAUUUCAACAUCUGGUCCAGUUCUGAACUGAAUGUAUGUAUAGACAGAGCCAUUAAAAAGAGUUUAAUGUGAUCACUGGAGCGUUCCAGGACGUUCUAUGAGAAGGUCACUGUCACUCAGCAGUUCUCAUGGGCCGCUUCAUUAUAACACACUGCUAAUGAACCAAGAGAGGAACAGAAUGAAACUGCGAGGAGAAGUUGCAGUGAAAACAAAGGAUUGUUUCUGUAUUAAAUCAGCAUGAAGCGAGUGACACAGAAGCCACCGUACCUUUGCUGUUUCUCUCCAUUGUACAGUUGAUCUGCUGUAUCGUGUCUUUGAUGGUCUGCCUCACUUUUAUCAGUUCCUGCAGGUUUCUGAAGGGUCAUGUGUCCUCAUUCAUCUUCUGUCAGAUCUUCUGUAAUUGCUCAUCAUUAGGCUGAAUUCAUGUCAUGUUUUUCCUCUACAGCUCCGUGGCUCUCGCUCCAUUUUCAUAAAGCUCUUCAUCCCUGGAAAUGUUUUGGUGGCCAUUAUGUUUAACAACCACAAGCCAUCAGCGAUAAGACAUAAAUAAAAAUAUACAUAUGCAUUAACUCAAAAAAAAAAAAAAAAAGGGAGAGAGAGAAAGUACUAAGUAUUUUGAUUUUCUCUUGGGUUUUUCUUUCAUGUCUGUUAACAGUGAUGUCAUAUUUAUGUAAAUUUAUUUUUAAGUGGAUAUGCAUAAUUUAAAUCCAAGGUUUGAG